CAGUCGCCGCGGUAAUACGUAGGUGGCAAGCGUUGUCCGGAUUUAUUGGGCGUAAAGCGAGCGCAGGCGGUCAAUUAAGUCUGAUGUGAAAGCCCCCGGCUCAACCGGGGAGGGUCAUUGGAAACUGGGAGACUUGAGUGCAGAAGAGGAGAGCGGAAUUCCAUGUGUAGCGGUGAAAUGCGUAGAUAUAUGGAGGAACACCAGUGGCGGAGGCGGCUCUCUGGUCUGUAACUGACGCUGAGGCUCGAAAGCGUGGGGAGCAAACAGGAUUAGAGACCCGUGUAGUCCCUGUCUCUUAUAC
rnacentral:rRNA from 1 species